rnacentral:rRNA from 1 species
UACAGAGGUCCCAAGCGUUGUUCGGAUUCACUGGGCUUAAAGAGUCCGUAGGCGGCAUGUUAGGUGAGGUGUGAAAUCCCCCGGCUCAACCGAGGAAUUGCGCUUCAAACCGGCGUGCUUGAGGAAGAUAGAGGUGGGCGGAACUGAUGGUGGAGCGGUGAAAUGCGUUGAUAUCAUCAGGAACACCGGAGGCGAAGGCGGCCCACUGGGUCUUUUCUGACGCUGAGGGACGAAAGCUAGGGGAGCGAACGGG